GAGCACGUAGGUGGGUUUGUAAGUCGGAUGUGAAAGCCUUCUGUUCAACGAAAGAAUUGCAUCUGAAACUGCGAGUCUUGAGUGUAGGAGGGGAGAAUGGAACUUCUGGUGGAGCGGUGAAAUGCGUAGACAUCAGAAGGAACGCCGGCGGCGAAAGCGAUUCUCUGGCCUAUUACUGACACUCGGUGUGCGAAAGCUAGGGGAGCAAACGGGAUUAGAUACCCCGGUAGUCCUAGCCGUAAACGAUGGGCACUAAGUAGAGGGGUUUU
rnacentral:rRNA from 1 species